ensembl:lncRNA MUC5B-AS1 MUC5B antisense RNA 1
UGGAUCCAGUGGAUGCAGUCGUAGUGGCUGUUGUGGUCAGCUCUGUGAGGAUCCAGUGGACGCAGUCGUAGUGGCUGUUGUGGUCGGCUUUGUGAGGAUCCAGGUCGUCCCCGGAGUUGAGGAGGGCGUGGCCGUGGAGCUGGUGGCUGGGGUACUGGGGCAGUGGCUGUAGUCGUCACAGCAAAGCACACGCACGUUGUAGUUGAAGCACAUGUUGAACCUGCCUGUCUGGUCUUCGUUCUUGCAGGUCAGCCCCGUCUCCAGGCUGCAGGUCAGCACCUGCCCGACCUGGUCGAUGCUUACCUCGGGGUAGUUCUCCGCCCGGCACUCUAUGCUCUUUGGUGCCCAGCACAUCUUGCCCCCAGCAGCCCUGAUGUUUUCAAAAGUUUCCAUGUCCCCGCCUGCAACCCCUGAGGUUGGGAAGUCCACGUCAA